rnacentral:rRNA from 1 species
UACGUAGGUGGCAAGCGUUGUCCGGAAUUAUUGGGCGUAAAGCGCGCGCAGGCGGUCUUUUAAGUCUGAUGUGAAAGCCCACGGCUCAACCGUGGAGGGUCAUUGGAAACUGGGGGACUUGAGUGCAGGAGAGAAGAGUGGAAUUCCACGUGUAGCGGUGAAAUGCGUAGAGAUGUGGAGGAACACCCGUGGCGAAGGCGGCUCUCUGGGACGGUACUGACGCUGAGACGCGAAAGCGUGGGGAGCGAACAGG